rnacentral:rRNA from 1 species
UGGGGAAUAUUGCACAAUGGGGGGAACCCUGAUGCAGCAACGCCGCGUGAGUGAAGAAGUAUUUCGGUAUGUAAAGCUCUAUCAGCAGGGAAGAAAAUGACGGUACCUGACUAAGAAGCUCCGGCUAAAUACGUGCCAGCAGCCGCGGUAAUACGUAUGGAGCAAGCGUUAUCCGGAAUUACUGGGUGUAAAGGGAGCGCAGGCGGUUUAGCAAGUCUGAUGUGAAAGCCCGGGGCUCAACCCCGGACCUGCAUUGGAAACUGUUAAACUAGAGUGCCGGAGAGGUAAGUGGAAUUCCUAGUGUAGCGGUGAAAUGCGUAGAUAUUAGGAGGAACACCAGUGGCGAAGGCGGCUUACUGGACGGUAACUGACGCUGAGGCUCGAAAGCGUGGGGAGCAAACAGG